CUGACCAAAAAACAGAUGCAAUUAUCACUGCCUACAGAGACAAAGGAUUACUGUGCUGAUGAUUACUGCUUUACUAAUUACAGGUAAAUGUUCAAAAGGUUAAGUGAAGUUUGGUUUCAUAUCUGAAACUAUCCAAAGUUGUUGAGCCAGCAUCUUCCUCUCAUUGCCUAUGAAUCUCUUUUUGCUUUCUGUGGAUGAAGAGCACAUGCAUUUGCAAUUCAGAAGCAGUUGGGGCGAAGCAGAAAGACUAUGGACACUUCUGAAACCCAUAAUUGUGUCUUCAGUUGUGAGCGCUCAUGUAUGGAAGAGUGAGAACUUGAGGAGGUGGAUACAGCACUUCCAAAUUUUCCUGCAAGCAAGUGGCACAGAGGAAAAAUCAAAGAUGGUGAAUGCACAAAUCUUUCCAGUAGGAGGAUGAGAGGACUACAAAUUGUUAGACAAAGGCUUUCAAGUCUUUCAAGAAUACUUUGAUCUACACACGAAUGUCACUUGAGAAAGAUACACUGUCUUUACAUGAAACCAGCUACCAGAUUUGAAACUGAAUGUGGAAGUGGAAGAAAAAAAAAAGUGUUCAGUCUGGUCUGUCAGAGAACUGAAGUGAUCAAAGAGUGAGAACAAGGCACUUCAACUGAAGUGGUGAGAAAGAGCCUGGACAAUAAUUUUCUCAUGAAAGGACGCUAGCAGAUCACAUUGCAGGACCAGGGCUAACGUGAGUACAGUGAAAGGAAUCGCUUAUUUUAUACCACGGUGCACCAUUGCAAUCAUAAAAACAUUUUUUUUGGAAAACUGUUAAACUUCAAGCUAUAAGUCAAUUCUUCAUUGGUGACAUAUUGUGAGACUUCUAGAGUCCAUUCUUGCUUUAUUGGCACCUUUUCUGAUUUACACUGUCUUGUGAGGCACACAAUUUCACAAGAAAAAAGAAUAUGCAGAAAUUUGCUUAUGAGAAGUAGACCCAAAGAAAGUGAAUAAACACAGAAUUAAUUUGGAAAGGAGAUAAAUAACAUGGGAUGAUUUGAAACAGGAAAUGACAGCAAUACAGUCCCAGGGGUGGAGACCUUGGGAGUGGGGGAUGGGGAGGGAGGUUUCAGAGCACGGGCUCUAGCCCAAGCCUGAAUUUCUACUCUAUUGUUAGCCCUGUAACCAAGUCUCCUGCAAACCCGAGUCAAUUGAUCCAGGUUCGAGACUCGCUGCCGCAGGUUUUUUGGUGUUUUUUUUUUUUGCAGAGUAGAUGUACACCUUUUUAACACAUCAGGGCAGAUUCUGGUCCCCACUCUGGUAGUGAAAAGCAGCAGGAAAGUCAUCUAAAUUGAUUAUUUGAGGAUUUACUCCUUGUAUAAGGUAAUCUCCAGGUGGUGCAGGGCUAGGACAAUGGAUUCUUUACUACACCCCUCUCUUUUAUCUGAAGUAGAGGGUUUGGCUGGGGAGCCGCCACACCCAGCUGGUUCCUGUUACUGGAACAAAUACUUGGAACAAUAGGCAGUCAGAUAUAAGAAAGAACAGCUUUCAGGCCACCUCUGUACCUGAUUGUGUAUCUGGUUGAUUAUUUCCUACUCAAAAAUACAGAGGCUGGUUUCAUUUUUUAAAGUAUUUUGUCCAGCAAAGGUGAAAUCCAAUUUAUACAAUUUACUCUGUUAAAGAAAUAUUCUUACCUAAGUAUGUUAAAUAUGAUGCAACAAUUUUAAUUUUUUCUUCUUCAGUUGUAUUGCUAUCCUAAUUAAAGUC